rnacentral:rRNA from 1 species
GUCCCGUAGUUGACGACGUGUGUUCAGUGAAAUCGAGUAGGGCGGGACACGUGAUAUCCUGUCUGAAUAUGGGGGGACCAUCCUCCAAGGCUAAAUACUACUGACUGACCGAUAGUGAACCAGUACCGUGAGGGAAAGGCGAAAAGAACCCCUGUGAGGGGAGUGAAAUAGAACCUGAAACCGUGUACGUACAAGCAGUAGGAGCAGGCUUUGUCCUGUGACUGCGUACCUUUUGUAUAAUGGGUCAGCGACUUAUAUUCAGUGGCAAGGUUAACCAUCUAGGGGAGCCGUAGGGAAACCGAGUCUUAACUGGGCGUUCAGUCUCUGGAUAUAGACCCGAAACCAGGUGAUCUAGCCAUGGGCAGGUUGAAGGUUGAGUAACAUCAACUGGAGGACCGAACCGACUAAUGUUGAAAAAUUAGCGGAUGACUUGUGGCUAGGGGUGAAAGGCCAAUCAAACCUGGAGAUAGCUGGUUCUCCCCGAAAGCUAUUUAGGUAGCGCCUCGGACGAAUACUACUGGGGGUAGAGCACUGUUAAGGCUAGGGGGUCAUCCCGACUUACCAACCCUUUGCAAACUCCGAAUACCAGUAAGUACUAUCCGGGAGACACACGGCGGGUGCUAACGUCCGUCGUGGAGAGGGAAACAACCCAGACCGCCAGCUAAGGUCCCAAAUUACUACUAAGUGGGAAACGAUGUGGGAAGGCUCAGACAGCCAGGAUGUUGGCUUAGAAGCAGCCAUCAUUUAAAGAAAGCGUAAUAGCUCACUGGUCGAGUCGGCCUGCGCGGAAGAUGUAACGGGGCUAAGUAGUAAACCGAAGCUGCGGCAAUGUGCUUUUGCACAUUGGGUAGGGGAGCGUUCUGUAAGCGGUUGAAGGUGUGUGGUAACGCAUGCUGGACGUAUCAGAAGUGCGAAUGCUGACAUGAGUAACGAUAAAGGGGGUGAAAAACCUCCUCGCCGGAAGACCAAGGGUUCCUGUCCAACGUUAAUCGGGGCAGGGUAAGUCGACCCCUAAGGCGAGGCCGAAAGGCGUAGUCGAUGGGAAACGGGUUAAUAUUCCCGUACUUCUUACAAUUGCGAUGGGGGGACGGAGAAGGCUAGGUGGGCCUGGCGACGGUUGUCCAGGUUCAAGUGCGUAGGCUUAAGAGUUAGGUAAAUCCGGCUCUUUCUAAGGCUGAGACACGACGUCGAGCACCUACGGGUGUGAAGUCAUUGAUGCCAUGCUUCCAGGAAAAGCCUCUAAGCUUCAGAUUGUAAGGAAUCGUACCCCAAACCGACACAGGUGGUCGGGUAGAGAAUACCAAGGCGCUUGAGAGAACUCGGGUGAAGGAACUAGGCAAAAUGGUACCGUAACUUCGGGAGAAGGUACGCUCUUGAUGGUGAAGUCCCUCGCGGAUGGAGCUGACGAGAGUCGCAGAUACCAGGUGGCUGCAACUGUUUAUUAAAAACACAGCACUGUGCAAAAUCGUAAGAUGACGUAUACGGUGUGACGCCUGCCCGGUGCCGGAAGGUUAAUUGAUGGGGUUAGACUUCGGUCGAAGCUCUUGAUCGAAGCCCCGGUAAACGGCGGCCGUAACUAUAACGGUCCUAAGGUAGCGAAAUUCCUUGUCGGGUAAGUUCCGACCUGCACGAAUGGCGUAAUGAUGGCCACGCUGUCUCCACCCGAGACUCAGUGAAAUUGAAAUCGCUGUGAAGAUGCAGUGUACCCGCGGCUAGACGGAAAGACCCCGUGAACCUUUAC